rnacentral:rRNA from 1 species
UACAGAGGGUGCGAGCGUUGUUCGGAAUUAUUGGGCGUAAAGGGCGCGUAGGCGGCCGUUUGCGUCGGAUGUGAAAGCCCGGGGCUCAACCUCGGAACGGCAUUCGAUACGGGACGGCUGGAGACCGGGAGAGGAGAGUGGAAUAGCCAGUGUAGAGGUGAAAUUCGUAGAUAUUGGCUGGAACACCGGUGGCGAAAGCGGCUCUCUGGCCCGGUUCUGACGCUGAGGCGCGAAAGCGUGGGGAGCAAACAGG